AUACGGAAUUCAGUCAGAAUUGGAUUUUACAGUAAAGUGCAGUCCAUCAAGUUACUAUUAUAGAUAUGUAUUUAUACAGAUCUGGUGGAGUCUCACAGUUGCUACUCUAAGCAGCAGAUGAAAGCAUACAAAAGCCUUCAGGCACAUAAAUAUUUUACAGCUGGAUUUGUUUUGAAUGGAGUAAAAAUUGUUAAUGAUUUCCUGAUUUCCAUAUUAUUGUUGGAAAGGUGAAGCAUUUCCAAAAAGCUAAUGCUAAACGACUAAAUGCUUGGGUGGGGUGAUAGCCAGUUCUGAUGACAUAGCAAAUGCACAUUGUAUGCGUAUGGCCGGUAAUAGUGAAGUCUGCAGCCAUAUUGCAGCAAUCCUAUUUUUAGCUAAGUAUGCCCAGAGCAAGACAGACGAAGAAGAACCCAAUGCAUGUACAUAUGUUACAGCUACAUGGUUUGGAGAUAGCAACAUAUGCAUUCUCUGAUGAAAAACUAAUGAGUUUUGAAACUGUUCGGUCAGAGUGCUUGUUGCGCUCACUAAACGAACUGAAAUAUAAGAAGUCUUUGGCAUUGUGUUGCAGCGAUAUGAAAAUGGUUAUUCAUUUUUAAUUAUAAUGUACUUCUUCAUCAUGAGUAAUUAUGUAUUGGUCUUUUAGAUGUGUAUUUAUUUUUGUAAUUAGUAUCAACUUGUAAUGAUAAUAUACAUUUAUCGUUUAAGGUACGACUAUGUUUUGACUCUAAAAUAAAUGUUUUAAAAAUCGAA